GGGUUGUGAGGUUAAGCGACUAAGCGUACACGGUGGAUGCCCUGGCAGUCAGAGGCGAUGAAGGGCGUGCUAAUCUGCGAUAAGCGCCGGUAAGGUGAUAUGAACCGUUAUAACCGGCGAUACCCGAAUGGGGAAACCCAGUGUGAUUCGUCACACUAUCAUUAACUGAAUCCAUAGGUUAAUGAGGCGAACCGGGGGAACUGAAACAUCUAAGUACCCCGAGGAAAAGAAAUCAACCGAGAUUCCCCCAGUAGCGGCGAGCGAACGGGGAGGAGCCCAGAGCCUGAAUCAGCAUGUGUGUUAGUGGAAGCGUCUGGAAAGGCGCGCGAUACAGGGUGACAGCCCCGUACACAAAAGCGCAUGUGCUGUGAGCUCGAUGAGUAGGGCGGGACACGUGGUAUCCUGUCUGAAUAUGGGGGGACCAUCCUCCAAGGCUAAAUACUCCUGACUGACCGAUAGUGAACCAGUACCGUGAGGGAAAGGCGAAAAGAACCCCGGCGAGGGGAGUGAAAAAGAACCUGAAACCGUGUACGUACAAGCAGUGGGAGCACCCUUCGGGGUGUGACUGCGUACCUUUUGUAUAAUGGGUCAGCGACUUAUAUUCUGUAGCAAGGUUAACCGUAUAGGGGAGCCGGAGGGAAACCGAGUCUUAAUUGGGCGUUAAGUUGCAGGGUAUAGACCCGAAACCCGGUGAUCUAGCCAUGGGCAGGUUGAAGGUUGGGUAACACUAACUGGAGGACCGAACCGACUAAUGUUGAAAAAUUAGCGGAUGACCUGUGGCUGGGGGUGAAAGGCCAAUCAAACCGGGAGAUAGCUGGUUCUCCCCGAAAGCUAUUUAGGUAGCGCCUCGUGAAUUCAUCUCCGGGGGUAGAGCACUGUUUCGGCUAGGGGCCAUCCCGGCUUACCAACCCGAUGCAAACUGCGAAUACCGGAGAAUGUUAUCACGGGAGACACACGGCGGGUGCUAACGUCCGUCGUGAAGAGGGAAACAACCCAGACCGCCAGCUAAGGUCCCAAAGUCAUGGUUAAGUGGGAAACGAUGUGGGAAGGCCCAGACAGCCAGGAUGUUGGCUUAGAAGCAGCCAUCAUUUAAAGAAAGCGUAAUAGCUCACUGGUCGAGUCGGCCUGCGCGGAAGAUGUAACGGGGCUAAACCAUGCACCGAAGCUGCGGCAGCGAACGUAUCACCCAAGACAACUUUACGGAGUUGACGAUUGACGGAGCGAAGCGACGUCAAAGCGUUCAUUAAAGUCGAGUUGGCUUAGGGAUACGUUCGUUGGGUAGGGGAGCGUUCUGUAAGCCUGUGAAGGUGUGUCGUGAGGCAUGCUGGAGGUAUCAGAAGUGCGAAUGCUGACAUAAGUAACGAUAAAGCGGGUGAAAAGCCCGCUCGCCGGAAGACCAAGGGUUCCUGUCCAACGUUAAUCGGGGCAGGGUGAGUCGACCCCUAAGGCGAGGCCGAAAGGCGUAGUCGAUGGGAAACGGGUUAAUAUUCCCGUACUUGGUGUUACUGCGAAGGGGGGACGGAGAAGGCUAUGUUGGCCGGGCGACGGUUGUCCCGGUUUAAGCGUGUAGGUGUGUGUUCCAGGUAAAUCCGGUUCACUUUAACACUGAGGCGUGACGACGAGGCACUACGGUGCUGAAGCAACAAAUGCCCUGCUUCCAGGAAAAGCCUCUAAGCAUCAGGUAACACGAAAUCGUACCCCAAACCGACACAGGUGGUCAGGUAGAGAAUACCAAGGCGCUUGAGAGAACUCGGGUGAAGGAACUAGGCAAAAUGGUGCCGUAACUUCGGGAGAAGGCACGCUGACACGUAGGUGAAGUGAUUUACUCAUGGAGCUGAAGUCAGUCGAAGAUACCAGCUGGCUGCAACUGUUUAUUAAAAACACAGCACUGUGCAAACACGAAAGUGGACGUAUACGGUGUGACGCCUGCCCGGUGCCGGAAGGUUAAUUGAUGGGGUCAGCGUAAGCGAAGCUCCUGAUCGAAGCCCCGGUAAACGGCGGCCGUAACUAUAACGGUCCUAAGGUAGCGAAAUUCCUUGUCGGGUAAGUUCCGACCUGCACGAAUGGCGUAAUGAUGGCCAGGCUGUCUCCACCCGAGACUCAGUGAAAUUGAACUCGCUGUGAAGAUGCAGUGUACCCGCGGCAAGACGGAAAGACCCCGUGAACCUUUACUAUAGCUUGACACUGAACAUUGAGCCUUGAUGUGUAGGAUAGGUGGGAGGCUUUGAAGUGUGGACGCCAGUCUGCAUGGAGCCGACCUUGAAAUACCACCCUUUAAUGUUUGAUGUUCUAACGUGGACCCGUAAUCCGGGUUGCGGACAGUGUCUGGUGGGUAGUUUGACUGGGGCGGUCUCCUCCUAAAGAGUAACGGAGGAGCACGAAGGUUGGCUAAUCCUGGUCGGACAUCAGGAGGUUAGUGCAAUGGCAUAAGCCAGCUUGACUGCGAGCGUGACGGCGCGAGCAGGUGCGAAAGCAGGUCAUAGUGAUCCGGUGGUUCUGAAUGGAAGGGCCAUCGCUCAACGGAUAAAAGGUACUCCGGGGAUAACAGGCUGAUACCGCCCAAGAGUUCAUAUCGACGGCGGUGUUUGGCACCUCGAUGUCGGCUCAUCACAUCCUGGGGCUGAAGUAGGUCCCAAGGGUAUGGCUGUUCGCCAUUUAAAGUGGUACGCGAGCUGGGUUUAGAACGUCGUGAGACAGUUCGGUCCCUAUCUGCCGUGGGCGCUGGAGAACUGAGGGGGGCUGCUCCUAGUACGAGAGGACCGGAGUGGACGCAUCACUGGUGUUCGGGUUGUCAUGCCAAUGGCACUGCCCGGUAGCUAAAUGCGGAAGAGAUAAGUGCUGAAAGCAUCUAAGCACGAAACUUGCCCCGAGAUGAGUUCUCCCUGAGACUUAGAGUCUCCUGAAGGAACGUUGAAGACGACGACGUUGAUAGGCCGGGUGUGUAAGCGCAGCGAUGCGUUGAGCUAACCGGUACUAAUGAACCGUGAGGCUUAACCUUACAACGCCGAAG
rnacentral:rRNA from 2 species